UGUAAGCUGCAUUGUUCGUAUAAAUAAUUAAGUUUUUCACCUAAGUAUUUAUAGGGAGUUUAAGAGAAUAUAGUGUGAAUGACAAAUCUCUGUCUAUAUGACGUGGAGGGCAAGCAGGAUCACUAUUGCAAACACCCACUUGUCUGAGAGUGGUGGUUUUAAAACUUCAUUAUAAAGCUACGGCAAAUGUGGCUUUUCA
rfam:Bacillus thermoamylovorans genome assembly, strain 1A1, contig: A1A_CC103